rnacentral:rRNA from 1 species
UACGUAGGGUGCAAGCGUUAAUCGGAAUUACUGAGCGUAAAGCGUGCGCAGGCGGUUUUGUAAGUCUGUCGUGAAAUCCCCGGGCUCAACCUGGGAAUUGCGAUGAAGACUGCAAGGCUUGAAUCUGGCAGAGGGGGGGUAGAAUUCCACGUGUAGCAGUGAAAUGCGUAGAGAUGUGGAGGAACACCGAUGGCGAAGGCAGCCCCCCUGGGUCAAGAUUGACGCUCAUGCACGAAAGCGUGGGGAGCAAACAGG